rnacentral:rRNA from 1 species
GCAGGUUGACCAGCUAUCUGGAAGGGUGUAAACUAAAUAAGGAUAAAGCCCUAAAAAAGAGAGGAUAAUGACGUUAUCUUUUUGACAAGUCUCGACCAAAUCACGUGCCAGCAGUCGCGGUAAAACGUGGGAGGCAAGCGUUAUUGAUCUUAAAUGGGUCUAAAGGGUCCGUAAAACGGUAAAUUAAGCGAAUCUCUUUCCUAUAUGGGAAGAGAGUUUAAUCGAACUGAUUUACUAGAGUCUUAUAGAAGAACAGAGGAAUUGCAAGAGUAAGGAUGAAAUCUAUUGAUACUUGUAGGACCGCCAAAGGCGAAGGCAUCGUUCUAGGUAAAGACUGACGUUGAGGGACGUAGGCGUUGGGAGCGAAAAGGAUUAGAUACCCCUGUAGUCAACGCUGUAAACGAUGAGUGCUUAAGAUUAGUAAUAAUAAUUAAUAAGUAAUUAGGUUUUAAUGCCUAUAACUAUUAUAAAAAUUAGUCUCGAAAUGAAGAUGUUAAGCACUUCACCUGGGGAGUACUGUCGCAAGGCUGAAACCCAAAACAUUAGACGGUCACGGAAACCAGCAGUGAAGCAUGUUAUUUAAUACGAUGAUCCGCGUACAACCUUACCACUUCUUGAAUGUCCUUUUCUGUAAAAAGAAAAGGCCUAUUUAAUUAAAAAAAUAAACAUUAAUUAAAUUUGGAUAAAUACAACAGGCGUUGCAUGGCUGUCUUCAGUUCGUGUCGUGAGAUGUCAGGUUCAUUCCGGUCAACGAAUGAAACCCUUCUUUCUUAAUUUUGCAUUAAUUAAAAUAAAAUUUAUUAAGAUGACCCUUGGAAAACGAGGAUAUAAUGGGGAUUAAGACAAGUCGUCAUGGCCUUUAUGAAGUGGGCUAUA